rnacentral:rRNA from 1 species
AUAACGGUCCUAAGGUAGCGAAAUUCCUUGUCGGGUAAGUUCCGACCCGCACGAAAGGUGUAACGAUUUGGGCACUGUCUCAACGAGGGACCCGGUGAAAUUGAAGUACCUGUGAAGAUGCAGGUUACCCGCGACUGGACAGAAAGACCCCAUGGAGCUUUACUGUAACCUGACAUUGGGUUCUGAUACAUCACGUACAGGAUAGGUGGGAGGCAUGGAAGCGAGGACGCUAGUCUUCGUGGAGCCGCCGUUGGGAUACCACCCUUGAUGUAUCGGAAUUCUAACCGUAGGAGUAACGAAACUCGGGACAGUGUCAGGCGGGCAGUUUGACUGGGGCGGUCGCCUCCCAAAGAGUAACGGAGGCGCCCAAAGGUUCCCUCAGCGCGGCCGGAAAUCGCGCGAAGAGUGUAAAGGCAGAAGGGAGCUUGACUGAGAGCCAAACACGGCGAUCAGGUACGAAAGUAGGGCUUAGUGAUCCGGUGGCAUCCAAGUGGAAGGGCCAUCGCUCAACGGAUAAAAGCUACCCUGGGGAUAACAGGCUAAUCUCUCCCAAGAGUCCAUAUCGACGGGGAGGUUUGGCACCUCGAUGUCGGCUCAUCACAUCCUGGGGCUGAAGUCGGUCCCAAGGGUUGGGCUGUUCGCCCAUUAAAGUGGUACGUGAGCUGGGUUCAGAACGUCGUGAGACAGUUCGGUCCCUAUCCAUCGCGGGCGCAAGAGAUUUGAAGGGGGCUGCUCCUAGUACGAGAGGACCGGAGUGGACGAACCAAUGGUGUACCAAUUAUCUCGCCAGAGGUAUAGUUGGGUAGCUACGUUCGGAAAGGAUAAACGCUGAAAGCAUCUAAGCGUGAAACCAGCCUUAAGAUGAGAUCUCUCAUAGAGUAAUCUAGUAAGACACCUUGGAGAAGACGAGGUUGAUAGGUCGGGAGUGUAAGUACAGUAAUGUAUUCAGCGGACCGAUACUAAUAUGUCGAGGGCUUGACUUA